AUGUCGUCGUCCAGGAGCAGCUCACCGGCGAUGCAACGGAGGCUUGUGCUGGUGGCACUGCCUCUGCUCCUCUCCUGCGUCGUCGACGGGCAGGUGGUGCCGGCGGUGAUCUCGUUCGGCGACUCGACCAUCGACGUGGGCAACAACAACUACCUCCCCGGCGCCGUCUUCAAGGCCAACUACGCGCCGUACGGGGAGAACUUCCGGCGCCACAGGGCCACCGGCAGGUUCUCCGACGGCAAGAUCGUCACCGACAUCACCGCUGAAACGCUCGGCUUCGAGGGCUACGCGCCGCCGUACCUGAGCCCGCUGGCGUCGGGGAAGAACCUGCUCACCGGCGCCAACUUCGGCUCCGCCGCGUCCAGCUACUCCGACGACACGGCGGCCAUGUAUGACGCAAUCACGCUGUCGCAGCAGCUCAAGUACUACAAGGAGUACAGGUCGAAGCUGGCGGCGGUGGCCGGUCGGCGGCAGGCGCGCACCAUCCUCGCCGAGGCGCUGUACGUCGUGAGCACCGGCACGGGCGACUUCAUCCAGAACUACUACCACAACGCCUCCCUGUCCGCCCGCUACGACGUCGACCGCUACUGCGACCUCCUCGUCGGCAUCUUCUCCGGCUUCGCCGACGAGCUGUACAGGCUGGGGGCGCGGCGGAUCGGCGUGACGACGAUGCCACCGCUGGGGUGCCUGCCGGCGACGAUCAGGCUGUACGGCAAGGGCCGGAGCCGCACCGGGUGCCUGCCGAGGCUCAACCGUGACGCCGAGACCUUCAACCGGAAGCUGAACGCCACCGUGGGGGCGCUGGUGAGGCGGCACGCGGGGCUCAAGGUGGCCGUCUUCGACGUCUACACGCCGCUCCGGGGCCUCUCCGAGAGGCCGGCCGCGCACGGCUUCGCGGAGGCCAGGAGGACGUGCUGCCGGACGGGGAAGGCCGGGACGAGGGUGUACCUCUGUGACCCGGCGACGGCGGCCCGGAUGUGCCGGAACGCCAGCAGCUACGUGUACUUCGACGGCGUGCACCCGUCGGAGGCGGCCAACCUGGUCGUCGCCGAGUCCCUGGUGUCGGCCGGCAUCGACUUGCUCACCUAG
rnacentral:rRNA from 1 species